CGGAUUCCUGUGAAUGUGGCGUUGAUGAUCUGGUAAAGACAAAAUCCUUCAAAAUCAAGCAUCUCAAGAAACAACUGCUCAACCGAUGUCAACCAAUGAUAACCUGCAUUACAACAGCCGCAGUUUUCAAAUAUCAGCUCUUUGUAAACAUUUCAUACUAAGUACAUCUUUGUUACCUUUAAUAUUUUUGGAAAUACCUUGUACAUCUCAUAUGAUUACAGGUGUUUUGUUACUAUUCCUUCAUGUGUUUACUUAACUAUUAAACUCACCCUUUUUGUUAAUUCAA